UACGAAGGGUGCAAGCGUUACUCGGAAUUACUGGGCGUAAAGCGUGCGUAGGCGGUUCGUUAAGUCUGUCGUGAAAGCCCUGGGCUCAACCUGGGAAUUGCGAUGGAUACUGGCGAGCUAGAGUACGGUAGAGGAUGGUGGAAUUCCCGGUGUAGCGGUGAAAUGCGUAGAGAUCGGGAGGAACACCAGUGGCGAAGGCGACUACCUGGCCUGUUCUUGACGCUGAGGCGCGAAAGCUAGGGGAGCAAACGGG
rnacentral:rRNA from 1 species